AAGUUUAGGUUAAACCAGACCAAGAGCCUUCAAAGCUCUAAGCAAGUAGUACAUACUUAACUUCUG
rnacentral:tRNA from 1 species